rnacentral:rRNA from 1 species
UACGUAGGUGGCAAGCGUUGUCCGGAAUUAUUGGGCGUAAAGCGCGCGCAGGCGGUCCUUUAAGUCUGAUGUGAAAGCCCACGGCUCAACCGUGGAGGGUCAUUGGAAACUGGGGGACUUGAGUACAGAAGAGAAGAGUGGAAUUCCACGUGUAGCGGUGAAAUGCGCAGAUAUCAGGAGGAACACCAAUGGCGAAGGCAGCUCGCUGGAACGGUACUGACGCUGAGGCGCGAAAGCGUGGGGAGCGAACAGG